rnacentral:rRNA from 1 species
UACGGAGGAUCCGAGCGUUAUCCGGAUUUAUUGGGUUUAAAGGGUGCGCAGGCGGGAUGUUAAGUCGGCGGUGAAAUUUUGCAGCUCAACUGUAAAAGUGCCUUCGAUACUGGCUUUCUUGAGUGUGGAUGAAGUAGGCGGAAUUUGUGGUGUAGCGGUGAAAUGCUUAGAUAUCACGAGGAACUCCGAUUGCGCAGGCAGCUUACUAAACCACUACUGACGCUCAUGCACGAAGGCGUGGGGAUCAAACAGGAUUAGAUACC